CUGGCGGCGUGCCUAAUACAUGCAAGUCGAACGGACAAGUAAGAGCUUGCUCUUAUGAGUUAGUGGCGCACGGGUGAGUAAUGUAUAGCUAAUCUGCCCUACACUAGAGGACAACAGUUGGAAACGACUGCUAAUACUCUAUACUCCUGUCUGACAUAAGUUAGAUAGGGAAAGUUUUUCGGUGUAGGAUGAGGCUAUAUUGUAUCAGCUAGUUGGUGAGGUAAUGGCUCACCAAGGCUAUGACGCAUAACUGGUCUGAGAGGAUGAUCAGUCACACUGGAACUGAGACACGGUCCAGACUCCUACGGGAGGCAGCAGUAGGGAAUAUUGCUCAAUGGGGGAAACCCUGAAGCAGCAACGCCGCGUGGAGGAUGACACUUUUCGGAGCGUAAACUCCUUUUGUUAGGGAAGAACAAUGACGGUACCUAACGAAUAAGCACCGGCUAACUCCGUGCCAGCAGCCGCGGUAAUACGGAGGGUGCAAGCGUUACUCGGAAUCACUGGGCGUAAAGGACGCGUAGGCGGAUUAUCAAGUCUCUUGUGAAAUCCUAUGGCUUAACCAUAGAACUGCUUGGGAAACUGAUAAUCUAGAGUAAGGGAGAGGCAGAUGGAAUUGGUGGUGUAGGGGUAAAAUCCGUAGAGAUCACCAGGAAUACCCAUUGCGAAGGCGAUCUGCUGGAACUCAACUGACGCUAAUGCGUGAAAGCGUGGGGAGCAAACAGGAUUAGAUACCCUGGUAGUCCACGCCCUAAACGAUGUAUACUAGUUGUUGCUAAGCUAGUCUUGGCAGUAAUGCACCUAACGGAUUAAGUAUACCGCCUGGGGAGUACGGUCGCAAGAUUAAAACUCAAAGGAAUAGACGGGGACCCGCACAAGCGGUGGAGCAUGUGGUUUAAUUCGAAGAUACGCGAAGAACCUUACCCGGACUUGAUAUCUAACAAAUCAUCUAGAGAUAGAAGAGUGUCUGCUUGCAGAAAUGUUAAGACAGGUGCUGCACGGCUGUCGUCAGCUCGUGUCGUGAGAUGUUGGGUUAAGUCCCGCAACGAGCGCAA
rnacentral:rRNA from 1 species